UUUACCGAUAUGUCUGUAAAACAGCUAAAUUACCAAAGUCGGUGAAAUUAUUAACUGAUUUUCGGUAAACGAACUCGAUCAUUACCGUGAUCGGUAAACUGGCAGCAAGAAACGUCAAGUCCACCAUACUACUCUUGCGAGCUCUUGGUUUCCAGUCAAAUUUAUCUGUCUUAUAACAAGUCGUGUGCUGAUGGCAAUUUUACAAAUUUACAAAGAAUAUAUUGUGAAAAAUAGAAGCGGCCAUGUGGUCAGGUGGCGAGCAGAUGGGCGGUUGUUAGUUCCGGAUUUUUUUUAUUGCUACGGGUUCAUUCACAAGAAGCAACCAACUGAGCGAUAAUGGAACCUGAGAGGCGGAAUGAGUUAAUUUUCAAUCAGUGGCAUCAAGAAAAACACGAAAAUAAAGUAGUAACCGGGAUA